rnacentral:rRNA from 1 species
AGAGUUUGAUCCUGGCUCAGGAUGAACGCUAGCGGCAGGCUUAACACAUGCAAGUCGAGGGGCAGCGCGGAGUAGCAAUACUCUGGCGGCGACCGGCAAAAGGGUGCGUAACACGUGAGCAACCUGCCCGUCACAGGGGGAUAAGCGCUGGAAACGGCGUCUAAUACCGCGUAACACAUUUAUCCGCAUGGAUGGAUGUUGAAAAUUUCGAUGGUGACGGAUGGGCUCGCGCAACAUUAGGUAGACGGCGGGGUAACGGCCCACCGUGCCGACGAUGUUUAGGGGUUCUGAGAGGAAGGCCCCCCACACUGGGACUGAGACACGGCCCAGACUCCUACGGGAGGCAGCAGUGAGGAAUAUUGGACAAUGGCCGGAAGGCUGAUCCAGCCAUGCCGCGUGAAGGACUAAGGCCCUACGGGUCGUAAACUUCUUUUGGCGCAGAGCAAUAAGGUCCACGCGUGGACUGAUGAGAGUAUGCGUCGAAUAAGCAUCGGCUAACUCCGUGCCAGCAGCCGCGGUAAUACGGAGGAUGCGAGCGUUAUCCGGAUUUAUUGGGUUUAAAGGGUGCGUAGGCGGAGAGUUAAGUCAGCGGUGAAAGGUCCCGGCUCAACCGGGGAGCUGCCGUUGAUACUGGCCCUCUGGAAUGCUCCUGCCGUGGGAGGAAUGUGUGGUGUAGCGGUGAAAUGCAUAGAUAUCACACAGAACACCGAUUGCGAAGGCAUCUCACGAAGGGGUGAUUGACGCUGAGGCACGAAAGCGUGGGGAUCGAACAGGAUUAGAUACCCUGGUAGUCCACGCAGUAAACGAUGAUGGCUAACUGCUGGGACUUCGGUUUCAGUGGCCAAGCGAAAGCGAUAAGCCAUCCACCUGGGGAGUACGACCGCAAGGUUGAAACUCAAAGGAAUUGACGGGGGCCCGCACAAGCGGAGGA